UACGGAGGGUGCAAGCGUUAAUCGGAAUUACUGGGCGUAAAGCGCACGUAGGCGGAUAUAUAAGUCAGGGGUGAAAUCCCAGAGCUCAACUCUGGAACUGCCUUUGAUACUGGGUAUCUUGAGUAUGGAAGAGGUAAGUGGAAUUCCGAGUGUAGAGGUGAAAUUCGUAGAUAUUCGGAGGAACACCAGUGGCGAAGGCGGCUUACUGGUCCAUUACUGACGCUGAGGUGCGAAAGCGUGGGGAGCAAACAGG
rnacentral:rRNA from 1 species